rnacentral:tRNA from 1 species
AAAGAUUUAGUUUAAUAAAACAUUAGCUUGUCAAGUUAAAAUUACUUUAAAGUAAUCUUUU